AUCCUAUGGUGGAAUGUGCGCUGCCAUAGUGAGGCGAGAGACCUCUGUCUUUUAUUCUGUUUGCCGCAGAGGGAGACAAAAAUCUGACUAUAUGCUGGAAAGACUCAGUAUCCGACAGUACCAGAAAUGGUAAAAAUCUGAACGGUGGAGUUAAUCAGCAGGAAAGAUCCUGAGAGAAAUCGAAGGAAAUCCUCACACACUAUACGUCAGACAUCCCCGAUUAAAUCGGGGUAAAGAGAUAGUGGCGUCUGCAUGGCGACAUGCAG
rnacentral:ncRNA from 1 species